GCCGGUAUAGCUCAGUUGGUAGAGCGCCUCAUUCGUAAUGAGGAAGUCCUUGGUUCGAAUCCGAGUACCGGCACCA
rnacentral:tRNA from 1 species